GACGACGCUGGCGGCGUGCCUAAUACAUGCAAGUCGAACGAGCGGCGGACGGGUGAGUAACACGUGGGAACCUACCCAUCAGAGGGGGCUAACACUUGCAAACAGGUGCUAAUACCGCAUACUGAGGGAUGGACCCGCGGUGCAUUAGCUAGUUGGGGAUGUAACGGCUAACCUGGGCGACGAUCCCUAGCUGGUCUGAGAGGAUGACCAGCCACCCUGGGACUGAGACACGGUCCAGACUCCUACGGGAGGCAGCAGUGGGGGAUAUUGCACAAUGGGCGCAAGCCUGAUGCAGCCAUGCCGCGUGUGUGAAGAAGGCCUUCGGGUUGUAAAGCACUUUCAGCGGGGAGGCGUUACCCGCAGAAGAAGCACCGGCUAACUCCGUGCCAGCAGCCGCGGUAAUUC
rnacentral:rRNA from 1 species